rnacentral:rRNA from 1 species
UACGUAGGGGGCAAGCGUUGUCCGGAAUCAUUGGGCGUAAAGCGCGCGUAGGCGGCCCGGUAAGUCCGCUGUAAAAGUCCAGGGCUCAAACCCUGGAAAGCCGGUGGAUACUGUCGGGCUAGAGUCCGGAAGAGGCGAGUGGAAUCCUGGUGUAGCGGUGGAAUGCGCAGAUAUCAGGAGGAACACCGAUGGCGAAGGCAGCUCGCUGGGACGGUACUGACGCUGAGACGCGAAAGCGUGGGGAGCGAACAGG